UGGGGAAUCUUGCACAAUGGAGGCAACUCUGAUGCAGCGACGCCGCGUGAGCGAUGAAGCCCUUCGGGGUGUAAAGCUCUUUCGGCAGGGACGAUAAUGACGGUACCUGAAGAAGAAGCUGCGGCUAACUACGUGCCAGCAGCCGCGGUAAUACGUAGGCAGCGAGCGUUGUUCGGAAUUACUGGGCGUAAAGAGUGUGUAGGCGGUGCUCUAAGUUCGGUGUGAAAUCUCCCGGCUCAACUGGGAGGGUGCGCCGAAAACUGGAAUGCUUGAACAUGGGAGAGGAAAGCGGAAUUCCUGGUGUAGCGGUGAAAUGCGUAGAUAUCAGGAGGAACACCUGCGGUGUAGACGGCUUUCUGGACCAUUGUUGACGCUGAGACACGAAAGCGUGGGUAGCAAACAGGAUUAGAUACCC
rnacentral:rRNA from 1 species